ensembl:snRNA U1 U1 spliceosomal RNA
AUACUUACCUGGCAAGGGAGACACCGUGAUCACCAAGGCGGAUCACCCAGGGCGAGGCUCGGCCAUUGCACUGCGGCUGUGCUGACCCCUGCGAAUUUCCCAAAUGUGGAAAUCUCGAUUGCAUAAUUUCUGGUAGUGGGGGACUGCGUUUGCGCUCUCUCCUG